rnacentral:rRNA from 1 species
AGAUUGAACGCUGGCGGCAUGCCUUACACAUGCAAGUCGAACGGCAGCACGGGGGCAACCCUGGUGGCGAGUGGCGAACGGGUGAGUAAUGCAUCGGAACGUGCCCAGUAGUGGGGGAUAACUAGUCGAAAGAUUAGCUAAUACCGCAUACGACCUAUGGGUGAAAGCGGGGGAUUCGCAAGAACCUCGCGCUAUCGGAGCGGCCGAUGUCUGAUUAGCUAGUUGG